UACGAAGGGGGCGAGCGUUGUUCGGAUUUACUGGGCGUAAAGGGCGCGCAGGCGGCUUUGUUUGUCAGGCGUGAAAGCCCCGGGCUUAACCUGGGAACUGCGUUUGAUACGGCAGGGCUAGAGUUCGGGAGAGGAGAGUGGAAUUCCCAGUGUAGAGGUGAAAUUCGUAGAUAUUGGGAAGAACACCGGUGGCGAAGGCGGCGACCUGGUCCGAUACUGACGCUGAGGCGCGAAAGCGUGGGGAGCAAACAGG
rnacentral:rRNA from 1 species